GUAUAGAAAGAGAAGACUACUGCACAGCAACUGGUGUUCGUGUAUUCAUUUCGUCGGCAACAAGAAGUAACUCAGCCCAGGUAGCCGAGUUGGAAAGCCUGGGGUUGGCCUCUACUCUGCCCAGCAAGAGCUGUGUGAGCCUGGUGAUGCUUCCGAAACUGGCUGCUCCCUUCUCCGGGCCCUGGGAGGGAAGACAACAGCAGACAACUGCACCUGACCCAUGAUGGACGUGCAGUGUGAGCAAGCAGUGAACUCUGUUGCUGUAAACCACUGAGAUCUGGGGGCUGUUUGUUACUGCAGUGUAACCUGGACCAUCCUGGCUCAUCAAGCAAAGCCCCUGGAAAUAAUGGUACUAUUUGCAGAGCACCAUGAAAGGUGCAUAGCUUUAAUUUCUUAUAUAAACUAGAAUUCUUGUUAGCAAUAAUGAGUAUCACUUAUGAGCGCUCACUAUGACUCAGGCAUCAUACUAGUUUCUUUGGCAAAUGUUUCCCCAUCUAUUCCACCACGGCUGCGUGAAUUCGUUAUCACUGGCCUGUUGAGUAUCUUUUGUCUUGUCACAGAGGUCAAGGGACAGAGGCUGAGGGAACCUGAAGGUCAAGACCAUAGCUAGUAAGUGGUGGAAAUGAGAGUCAAGCGCAGGGUGUCUUGCCCCCAAACCCUCGCUCUUGCCACCACUAAGCUGCUAUUAUAUAUGAAACAUGACUAGGCCUAUCAAGGAAAAACCCCAUGCA